GACGAACGCUGGCGGCGUGCUUAACACAUGCAAGUCGAACGGAAAGGCCCUGCUUUUGUGGGGUGCUCGAGUGGCGAACGGGUGAGUAACACGUGAGUAACCUGCCCUUGACUUUGGGAUAACUUCAGGAAACUGGGGCUAAUACCGGAUAGGAGCUCCUGCUGCAUGGUGGGGGUUGGAAAGUUUCGGCGGUUGGGGAUGGACUCGCGGCUUAUCAGCUUGUUGGUGGGGUAGUGGCUUACCAAGGCUUUGACGGGUAGCCGGCCUGAGAGGGUGACCGGCCACAUUGGGACUGGGAUACGGCCCAGACUCCUACGGGAGGCAGAAGUGGGGAAUAUUGCACAAUGGGCGGAAGCCUGAUGCAGCAACGCCGCGUGCGGGAUGACGGCCUUCGGGUUGUAAACCGCUUUCGCCUGUGACGAAGCGUGAGUGACGGUAAUGGGUAAAGGAGCACCGGCUAACUACGUG
rnacentral:rRNA from 1 species